AUGAACGCUGGCGGCGUGCCUAAUACCUGCAAGUCGAGCGCACAGAUAAGGAGCUUGCUCCUUUGACGUUAGCGGCGGACGGGUGAGUAACACGUGGGUAACCUACCUAUAAGACUGGGAUAACUUCGGGAAACCGGAGCUAAUACCGGAUAACAUUUGGAACCGCAUGGUUCUAAAGUGAAAGAUGGUUUUGCUAUCACUUAUAGAUGGACCCGCGCCGUAUUAGCUAGUUGGUAAGGUAACGGCUUACCAAGGCAACGAUACGUAGCCGACCUGAGAGGGUGAUCGGCCACACUGGAACUGAGACACGGUCCAGACUCCUACGGGAGGCAGCAGUAGGGAAUCUUCCGCAAUGGGCGAAAGCCUGACGGAGCAACGCCGCGUGAGUGAUGAAGGGUUUCGGCUCGUAAAACUCUGUUAUUAGGGAAGAACAAAUGUGUAAGUAACUGUGCACGUCUUGACGGUACCUAAUCAGAAAGCCACGGCUAACUACGUG
rnacentral:rRNA from 1 species